rnacentral:lncRNA from 1 species
UUCCAUUAUUCUACCAAGUGAUUAACAAUUUGUACUCUCAUUAGUAUCAAUUGCUUCAUAUCCACAUCAAUAGCUGGUAUGGUCAGAUUUUGAAUUUUUAUCAGUCUGAAGGAUGUGGAAUGGUAUUUCAUUGCGAUAUUAAUAUUCAUUUUCCUGAUUACUAUUAGUUUUUUAUGUUAAUUUAGCUUUUAAAAAUUUCUUUUAGUGAAUUGCCUAUCUUUCCUAUUAGGUUAUUCCUUUUUAGUAUUAGUUCUUCAUCUAUUGUGGAUAUUUCAUAUAACCUGCUACAAAUAUUUGUUAGUGAAAUGUAUUGCACAUGUCUUCUCAGGGCCAAUGACUAAUUAUUCUUGAAUUUUGUCUUUUUGAUGCACAGGUCUUAAAUGUAAUGUCAAUGAAGUUAUUAAUCUUAUUUUUGUAAUUUAUGCUUUUUGUGACUUGUAAGAAAUCUUUCUGUAACCUGAGGUGAUAAGCAUUUACUUGUAAAAACAGAAAGUUUUUCCUUUCUCUUUUCUUUUUCUUUCUUCCUUUUUUCUUUAUCUUGGCAAUACUGGGGACUGAACCCAUAAACACUUAACCACUGAGUUACAUCCUUAGCCCUUUAUUUUACUUUAAUAUCUUCUUUUGAGACAGGGUCUUGUAAAGUUGUCCAGGCUGCUCUCCAACUUGGGAGCCUCCUGCCCCAGCCUCCUGGGUCGCUGGAAUUCCAAGUAUGUGCUACCAUGCCCAACUUGCCUUUCCUUUUGAGACCUUUAAUCCACCUUGGAAUUGAUUUUUACUUACAAUAUGGAGAUUCAAAUUUAUUUUUAACCAAAUGAGUAGCCAACUGUGGGACACCUCUGUUGUUCUGUCCCCACUGACAUUUCACACCUCUCUUUGGUUACCAGUGUCCAUAUAUGCACGAGUAUUUUUCUGUGCUUCCCACUCUAGAGCAUUCAUCUACUAGUCUAAGUCAUCACCAAUACCACUCUCAAUUCUUAGACUACUCUAAUAAUAGUUACACUUGGUAGAGUAAUCCCAAAUCUAUGCUUCUUCUAGCUAUUUUCGGUUCUUUGCUUUUCUACAGAAAUGUAAAGUCAACUUUUCAAGAUCCGAGAAAUCUGAGUGCAGUGACCCACACCUACCAUCCCAGUGACUCAGGAGGUUGAAGCAGGAGGAUUGGAUUGUACAUUCGAGGCCACCCUGGGCAAGACCCACAGCAAGUUAGAGAGACCCUGUCUCAAAAUUUUAAGAAAUAGAAUAAAAAUGAAUGGGGAUGUGGUUCAGUGGUAAAGUGCCCCUGGGUUUGAUCCCCAGUACCAAAAAAAGAAAAAAGUAAUCCAGAUGGUCUUGGGGAUGGUCUUUAGGAAACUGUGUCUUCUUGUCUAUUGGCCAGGUGUGUGUUUUCUCAUCUUUUCACUUUUGGCCUUUUGCAGUCUCUGUAAAUAGCAUCAAACAGACUUGUCACAAGCUGAAGACCUGUUUUUAGAGGCAAGUAUGAUCUAUCAAUAUUAAGGUGGAUUUGGAAUUAUUUCCUAUUUGCUUUCUUUUUCCCUAGCUUAUUCUAUAUUCCUACUUCCACCACCGCCUUAUUUGGAUUGAUUGAGGAUUUUAUUUAGUUGCUUUUCCCACCCACAUUGGAUUCAAAUGUACAUACUUUAAUUUGAUGGUUCUGAAAUGUUAGGGUUCAGAAUUCCCUGCAGGGAUGCUUAAAACAGAUUGCUGAUCUCCACUGCAGAGUUUCGAAUGUAGGUUGCUGGGAUGGAGCCAACAAUUUACAUUUCCAAAUUCAUCAUCAUCAUCAUCAUCAUCAUCAUCAUCAUUAUCAUCAUCAUCAUCCCUGGUAUGUUGAUAUUCUGGUCUGUGACCCCAUUUUAAGAAAAUUUGUUCUAAUUCUAUUCUUCUAGUGGUUAGCCUUCCACUUUUUAACAUUCACAAUUAAAAUAUAAAAUUAGUAAAUAUAUUCACUAUCUUUCUAAAAACGUGAGGACUUCAGAAUAUUUUAACUCUAAUUUUAUCUAUCCUAUCUUACAUGUUUUUGCAUUCCAGGACCUACCUUGUUUUUUAGGUUCACAACUCAGAUACUAUUAUUGUUUUUACAUGGAGGUUUGUGAAUACUUUCACAAAUCUAUACCAAUUUCUUUACUCUGUGCUCAAUUUUUGUAGGUUUUUGGUUUUGCUCUUGUUUUCACAGUGCUGAGGUCAAAACCAGAGCCUCACAGAUUCUAGGGCUCUACCACUGAGCUACACCCCCACCCACUUAUUCCUCUUAAACUUCUGAACUUUCUCCUGGAAUUCUUUCUUUCCCUUCUACAUAUGGUUGGACACCCUUAUACAAGUUCCUUCAGUGACAAUCUGUGGAGAGUAGAUGCUCAAUCUUCUUUGUUAAUAUUAUUUUGUAGUUUAUUGGGUUUCAGAUUUGACAAUUUUGUUUGUUUGUUGCUUGUUGGGAUAUAAAAAUGAGUCCUUUUUCCAUCUACAUUUUUUAAUGAUAAUUCAUCUAGACGUGUAAUUCCACAUUAGCAGUUUAUUUUCACAGCAUUUUGAAGCUAGUACUCUUCCACUGACCUCUGGCCUCCACUGUUACCUUUGAGGAAUCUGCUGUUGAUCUUAACACUGUACUUAAAAUUAUCACCAGUCUUUUUCCCAGGAACCCACCAGUUUUUUUCCAUCAUUAAUAUCAGUAUCACUAUCAUGUGUUAAGGUGCUUCUUUACUUAUUCAAUAUGGGCCUCAAGUUGCUUAGGGCCUUGCUUAAGUGCUGAGACUGGCCUCAAACUUGCAGUCCUCCUACCUCACCCUCCUGUGUGCCACCAUGCCCAGCCUGGCUUAUGGGAUUUUUAUUAGAAGACUGUUAAGUUCCCCCAUUCCAUCCUUCAUGCCACUUAAGUCCUGACAUUUCUUCUCUUUCUUCGUCUCUCUACACCAUGCUCUGGAUUUGUUUUCAGCUCCAAUCCAAUUAAUUCUAUAUCUAAUUCUUUCUUUUUUUAACCAGAUCAAAUCUAUUUCAAUCUUUUGAUGGUUUGUUGCCUUUUUGUUCUUUUAGUUUUAUUGAUUAUAUUUAUUUUUAGAAAUUCUCUUUAGUACGUUAAAAAAAAAAUCUGCCUAAAACUAAUCUGUGCUAUGAGAGUUAGGACACUAGUCACUCUUGGUGGUGUGGGAGAUGACAAGAAAGAAACCUGGGGCUGGGGACUUGGUGUUCUGCGUGCUGGUUAGAUGAAUGUGUUUAGGUUGUAAAACCCAGCAACCUAUUUAUUUAUAAUUUGUGUCCUUUUUGGUAUAUAUAUGAUUAUAUUAUAUAAUAUCUUUUGUUCCUUUCUUGUUUUUUUAAAAUUUUAGCCAAACAUUUUGGGCUUAUUUGUUUUACAUUCUGUAUCUGCUAAAUUCUUUAAGGAGUUUUUUGCUGAUUCUAAUUUAUGGUGGUGGUGGUGGUGGUGUGUGUGUGUGUGUGUGUGUGUGUGUGUGAACUGAGAGUUUACCUUCAGUUAGACUUAUCUGUCAGGCCUAGGUUUAGAUAUGUCCCUCCAAAAGAUCUGCACUGUUUCUGUCACCUGUCUAGAAGUGCUAUCAACUCAGGAUCAUGCAGGGAGAAAAAGCCAUUUAUGAAAUGGAAGGAGUUCAUCCCCCAAACCCAAUCAUGCUGGCACCCUGAUUUUGGAUUUCCAGCCUCUAGAACCAAGAGAAAUAAACACAUGCUGUUCAAACAAUCCAAUCCACAGCUUUCUUUUAUUGUAGCCCAAAUUGGCCAAGAACACUGGGGUGUGGGCAGUGGGUACCAACAAACGUAGAACUUUACUAAGAAGAGUGUUCUUUAUGCACUUUAUUGUGUAUAUGUAAAACCUCAAUAAAAAGGAAAAAUCUUUGGGUCACCGCCACUUUCCUAUUGAAACAGAAGGUCAGUAUUGGUUGUCUAGUUUCUUUCUGUCUGUCUUUCUUUCUGACAGGGUCUCACUAAGUUACCCAAGUGACCUCAAAUUUAUAAUCCUCCUGCCUCAGACUUCAGAAUCACUGGGAUUACAGGCAUGCACCUCCAUGCCCAGUUUUCAGUUUCUUUCAACCCACAUUCCUCCGUUUGCUGAGCCCAGAGCUAAAGUAGCCACCCCCUGCCCUUAGCAAACCAUUGUGAACUUUCCUCAGGCCAUUA